UACAGAGGCCUCGAGCGUUAGGCGGAAUCACUGGGCUUAAAGCGUGUGUAGGCGGACUUCUAAGUACCUUGUGAAAUCCCACGGCUCACCCCGUGGAACUGCUCGGUAUACUGGUCGUCUUGAGCCUUCUAGGGGCGAGUGGAACAAAUGGUGGAGCGGUGAAAUGCGUAGAUAUCAUUUGGAACGCCAAUGGUGAAAACAACUCGCUGGGGAAGUGCUGACGCUGAGACACGAAAGCCAGGGGAGCGAAACGGGG
rnacentral:rRNA from 1 species